CGUUUCACAAAGAAUGACUUCCUUUCCUUUUUAGGCAAUUUCAAAAAGAAUGACCUCUUUCCUUUUUUGAUAACAUUUUACUUUUUGCUUUCCACGUGACAUGUUUAAGACCACAAGAUUAAGGAUAAUUUUGUACAUUUGACAUAACUUUAAUUUAGAACCACAAGAUUCAAAAGUCUUCUUUAUUUACUUAAACUCCGUGCC
rnacentral:lncRNA from 1 species